rnacentral:rRNA from 1 species
CCUACGGGGGGCAGCAGUAGGGAAUAUUGCUCAAUGGGGGAAACCCUGAAGCAGCAACGCCGCGUGGAGGAUGAAGGUUUUCGGUUUGUAAAGUCCUUUUGUUAGAGAAGAUAAUGACGGUAUCUGACGAAUAAGCACCGGCUAACUACGUGCCAGCAGCCGCGGUAAUACGGAGGGUGCAAGCGUUACUCGGAAUCACUGGGCGUAAAGAGCGCGUAGGCGGGAUAGCAAGUCAGAUGUGAAAUCCUAUGGCUUAACCAUAGGACUGCAUUUGAAACUGUUAUUCUAGAGUAUGGGAGAGGUAAGUGGAAUUCUUGGUGUAGGGGUGAAAUGCGUAGAGAUUAAGAGGAACACUAGUUGCGAAGGCGACCUGCUAGAACAUAACUGACGCUGAUGCGCGAAAGCGUGGGGAGCAAACAGGAUUAGAUACCCGAGUAGUC